rnacentral:rRNA from 1 species
UGGGGAAUAUUGGACAAUGGGCGAAAGCCUGAUCCAGCCAUGCCGCGUGUGUGAAGAAGGCCUUUUGGUUGUAAAGCACUUUAAGCGAGGAGGAGGCUACUUAGAUUAAUACUCUAGGAUAGUGGACGUUACUCGCAGAAUAAGCACCGGCUAACUCGGUGCCAGCAGCCGCGGUAAUACAGAGGGUGCGAGCGUUAAUCGGAUUUACUGGGCGUAAAGCGUGCGUAGGCGGCUUUUUAAGUCGGAUGUGAAAUCCCUGAGCUUAACUUAGGAAUUGCAUUCGAUACUGAGAAGCUAGAGUAUGGGAGAGGAUGGUAGAAUUCCAGGUGUAGCGGUGAAAUGCGUAGAGAUCUGGGGGAAUACCGAUGGCGAAGGCAGCCAUCUGGCCUAAUACUGACGCUGAGGUACGAAAGCAUGGGGAGCAAACAGG